GAUACACAGUAUUUUUGGAAAAGAAGGCUGAAGCUGAUGAUUGGAGGAAACAAGCUCCCAGUUGAUCACUGAGUGUCCACAAGACGCCGCCACCACAAUGAUGAUGUCACUGAGUCCACUGCUGCUCACCCUGGGCCUCCUUGUUCACGGUUCAUCAGGAGACAUCGUCCUGACUCAGACUCCUGGAUCUCAGUCUGUAGCUCCAGGACAGACUGUCUCCAUCACUUGUAGAACAAGCUCAGAUGUUAGCAACUGGCUCCACUGGUAUCUUCAGAAACCUGCUGGAGCUCCAAAACUCCUCAUUUAUCGCUCUUCAACCCGUUGGUCUGGAGUUCCAGAUCGUUUCAGUGGACAAGGAUCAGGGACACAGUUCACUCUGACCAUCAGCAGAGUCCAGCCUGAAGACGCAGGAGUCUAUUAUUGUCAGCAGAGUAGCACUACCCCGUUCACACAGUGA